ACCAAAGCUUCGGUUCACACUGGACACAGUGUGGCAUGCAUGUGCUUAUGAGUGUGUCUUCCUUUAGAGAGGCGAAUUGAGCUGGAGUCAGCAGAGAAGGAAGAAAGAAAAGCGGAGAUCCAUUGGUAACGGUGGAUGCUAAAUAUGUCCCAGGGGCAGGCACCAUGUCAGUAGGCCACGAGCACGCGUU
rnacentral:lncRNA from 14 species